UUACCUUUUCGUUCCGUGAAGUUUUGUGUGAAACACUCGCUUGGGGUUUCAUUCAUAUGCUGAAUCCAUUCGAUCACAUCCACAUAUUACCUAAAUUGUCUUCCUGAUGCGCUGCAAUAAGAUCCCAAAGCUGGAUCACCGCGUACACUUCUAUAUCACCAAAGUUGCUAGCUUGGUAUAAUUGCGUGAGUAUUAAGUUUACAUCUCCAUGUAGUUUUAUUAGUGGUACAUCAUGUGUCCACAAGUUCAACAGUCUGUUGGUCGAUAUAUACUGAAUCCACUCUUGCUUGCUCUCAUUUAGCAUUAUGUCGUAUAAGUUGACUAGGUUAUUGUUCAUCUCAAUCACACACUGCAAUUAAAAAAGACAUGAUGAUUUAUUUAUUGCAUCUUCACUGUGUGUCACUAAAAACUAAGUGUCAGCUAAGUGUUUAAUUUAUAGACAUAUUUAAUUGCUUUAAGUAGCUCCAAAGAGGUCUUUUUUGUAUUUAUUAUUGUUUCGCCGCCACAAAUAUUCAUAUAAAUGAUCAGAAAAAAUUUCAGUGUUAUUGUAAUUAUCUUAUAAAAUUUCAUCAACCAAUUCUUCAGAAAAUGAUCUCCAUUAAGAUUUAGUAACUUAACUUUCUUCAAACUUAAGUUAUUAUUAACAUAAGUCACGUAAAUCGACAUCUAUAGAUUGUGAAAUGCUCUUCUUAAAAGUUGAGUAUACCCAUCCCCAUCUCGAUGAAUUGAGAACACAAUCACCCACAGUAAAAGACUUGUAAAUAACAUCACAAUUAAAAUUAACAUUGAUAAGAUUUUUGUUUAAAAAACAGGGCAUUCACAUGUUUUAGGGAGAAAGUCUAGUACGCAAGUCUGUCUGUAUAAGACCUGCGAAAAUAAUCUCUCAGAUGCGACCGAACGCAUUUGAAAGCUGAAGUACUUCUGCGCCAGUUUUUUCAAGUUUGGGUAUAAUAUGUCAUUGUGCCAGAAAACAAACGGAUCUGCGUCUCUCGAUAUAUUGGGAGACCUCAGGUAUUUCUCGACUUCCUCUUUGAGAUCAUUACAGCUCAGAGUGGAUAGGGGCUCAUCCUCCUCGGCCGCUUUAAUAAUAUUUUCACAAAUGCUCCAAAGCCCACCAAUAGUAGGGAUCUCAGAACUUGUACAGUUUCGGAAUGAAGAGCUUCAUUAAGGUUAAAUAACUCAACAAGACGCUUUUUUACCGUUAAAAUAGUAGACUGUAAUUGAAAUGUUCGUGUUUUGUAACGAGGAUCAAGCGUUGUGGCUUUGCAAUAUAUUUCAUCAUUUUCCAAACAAUCAAACCUUUCAUUAAGAGCCAAUACCAAUUCGCUGCAUAGUGGAUUUGGAGACACCAAUUUGCUGAACUCGAGGAGUUUGAGCGACAUCAUCACUUACAGCUGCGACAUUUUCGGUCGAUCGACCUGGUCGAAGGCGCAUUGUUGUCUUUACAUCACUAACAGAUCCAGUUUCGGCAAAUUUAUCAAUUAAUCUCUACAGUUGACUCUUUUAGAGCAUUAUUGUGACCCCAAAUUGAUCGCAAUUUGCGAACUGUAGCCGCAAAACUUUCACCAUUUUGGUAAAAAAAUUUCACAAUGAGAAUGCGUUGUUCAUUCGUGUAGCGCUCCAUUUUUACGAACCUCGUACCUUCUACUAGCAAA